rnacentral:rRNA from 1 species
GAUGAACGCUGGCGGCGUGCUUUAUGCAUGCAAGUCGAACGGUCCCGGAUUUAUUCGGGAUAGUGGCGGACGGGUGAGUAACGCGUAAGCAACCUGCCCUUAAGUGGGGGAUAACUCUGGGAAACCGGAGCUAAUACCGCAUAUGGUGGCAGAACAAAUGUUCUGUUACUAAAGCCUUAGGGCGCUUAAGGAGGGACUUGCGUCCGAUUAGCUAGUUGGUAGGGUAAUGGCUUACCAAGGCAGUGAUCGGUAGCUGGUUUGAGAGGACGGUCAGCCACACUGGGACUGAGAUACGGCCCAGACUCCUACGGGAGGCAGCAGCAAGGAAUUUUGUGCAAUGGGCGAAAGCCUGACACAGCAACGUCGCGUGGGGGAUGAAGGCCUUCGGGUUGUAAACCCCUUUUCUCAGGGAAGAACGAUGACGGUACCUGAGGAAUAAGCCUCGGCUAACUACGUGCCAGCAGCCGCGGUAAUACGUAGGAGGCGAGCGUUAUCCGGAUUUAUUGGGCGUAAAGAGGGCGUAGGCGGCCUUUCAAGUCGAAUAUAAAAUCUCCCAGCUUAACUGGGAGGGACUAUGCGAUACUGUUAGGCUGGAGGGCAGCAGAAGGAGGUGGAAUUCCCGGUGGAGUGGUGAAAUGCGUAGAUAUCGGGAGGAACACCAGUGGCGAAGGCGGCCUCCUAGGCUGUUUCUGACGCUGAGGCCCGAAAGCGUGGGGAGCGAACAGGAUUAGAUACCCUGGUAGUCCACGCCGUAAACGAUGGAUACUAGGUAUGGGGAGUAUCGACCCUCUCCGUGCCGUAGCUAACGUGUUAAGUAUCCCGCCUGGGGAGUACGGCCGCAAGGCUAAAACUCAAAGGAAUUGACGG